CCUGUGUGUGUGUGUAGAGGCAACCGUGGGCAAACUACGGCCCUCGGGCCAGAUCCGGCCCGUUCAGCUGUUCUAUCCGGCCCGCGGAGCCGAAAGAGCGGAGGGUUCUCUUGCUCUCCCCUCCGCUCCUUCACCAGCAGCAGUGUUAACAUGGCAACGUCGGGAAACACGGCCGCAGCUCCUUCUUCUGAGUGGGCGGAUUUACAUCCGCCCAUUCAGUAGAAGGAACAACCUCUCAAUCUUCCAGAGGCUCCUUGUAAUGCCCUCGGACGCGUCUCCCGACAUCACCCUGGGAAUGGGUAGACACGUUAUCGUGGUGAUGUAGGGAGACACGCCCCUGGAGAGCACAGUAUCAGAGCCUUUGCCAUCUUCAAUAUAAGGUAUGUUAUUGUGCUAUGAUUCCUCCAUUUUUUGAAGUUUCAAAUUAUAAUAAUUAGUGUUUACAUUCUUCUUGUUAAAAUGUUUGAAAUGAAUAAAACUAUUGAAAUA